rnacentral:rRNA from 1 species
CAGCAGCCGCGGUAAUACGGAGGGGGCUAGCGUUGUUCGGAACUACUGGGCGUAAGGCGCACGUAGGCGGCUUUGCAAGUCAGAGGUGAAAGCCCGGGGCUCAACCCCGGAAUUGCCUUUGAGACUGCAGGGCUAGCAGGUGAGAGAGGUGAGUGGAAUUCCGAGUGUAGAGGUGAAAUUCGUAGAUAUUCGGAAGAACACCAGUGGCGAAGGCGGCUCACUGGCUCAUACUGGACGCUGAGGUGCGAAAGCGUGGGGAGCAAACAGGAUUAGAUACCCCCGUAGUCCCUGUCUCUUAUAC